AACGUAGGAGCCAAGCGUUAUCCGAAUUCACUGGGCGUAAAGCGCGUGCAGGCGGCUUGGUAAGUUGGAUGUGAAAUCUCCUGGCUCAACUGGGAGAGGCCGUUCAAUACUGUCAGGCUAGAGGGCGACAGAGGAAAGUGGAAUUCCCGGUGUAGUGGUGAAAUGCGUAGAUAUCGGGAGGAACACCAGUGGCGAAGGCGACUUUCUGGGUCGCACCUGACGCUCAGACGCGAAAGCUAGGGGAG
rnacentral:rRNA from 1 species